rnacentral:ncRNA from 1 species
CCAAAGGCUCUUUUAAGAGCCACUUACAUAAUCAUUCAAAGGGCUU